CAGCCGCCGCGGUAAUACAGAGGGUGCAAGCGUUAAUCGGAAUUACUGGGCGUAAAGCGCGCGUAGGUGGUUUGUUAAGUUGGAUGUGAAAGCCCCGGGCUCAACCUGGGAACUGCAUCCAAAACUGGCAAGCUAGAGUACGGUAGAGGGUGGUGGAAUUUCCUGUGUAGCGGUGAAAUGCGUAGAUAUAGGAAGGAACACCAGUGGCGAAGGCGACCACCUGGACUGAUACUGACACUGAGGUGCGAAAGCGUGGGGAGCAAACAGGAUUAGAUACCCGUGUAGUCCCUGUCUCUUAUAC
rnacentral:rRNA from 1 species